AUUGAACGCUGGCGGCAUGCCUUACACAUGCAAGUCGAACGGUAACGGGCCUUCGGGUGCCGACGAGUGGCGAACGGGUGAGUAAUGCAUCGGAACGUACCUUUCAGUGGGGGAUAACGUAGCGAAAGUUACGCUAAUACCGCAUAUUCUGUGAGCAGGAAAGCAGGGGAUCGCAAGACCUUGCGCUGAUUGAGCGGCCGAUGUCAGAUUAGCUAGUUGGUGAGGUAAAGGCUCACCAAGGCGACGAUCUGUAGCGGGUCCGCGAGGAUGAGCCGCCACACUGUAACUGGGACACUGUCCAGCCUCCUACGGGAGGCAGCAGUGGGGAAUUUUGGUCAAUGGAGGCAACCCUGAUCCAGCCAUGCCGCGUGAGUGAAGAAGGCCUUCGGGUUGUAAAGCUCUUUCGGUCGGGAAGAAAUCGCAUGGGUUAAUACCCUGUGCGGAUGACGGUACCGGCAUAAGAAGCACCGGCUAACUACGUGCCAGCCGCCGCAGUAA
rnacentral:rRNA from 1 species